GGCGAACGGGUGCGUAACGCGUAAGGAACCUGCCCUUCACUGGGGGAUAGCUUUGCGAAAGCGAAGGUAAACCCGCAUGGUUCUGUGAGAUCGCAUGGUUUUACAGAUAAAUAUUUAUAGGUGAAGGAGGGUCUUGCGUCGGAUUAGUUAGUUGGCAGGGUAACGGCCUACCAAGACGAUGAUCCGUAGGGGCUCUGAGAGGAGCGGCCCCCACAUGGACACUGAGACACGGGUCCAACUCCUACGGGAGGCAGCAGUAGGGAAUAUUGGGCAAUGGCCGGAAGGCUGUCCCAGCCAUGCCGCGUGGAGGAAGACGGCCCUCUGGGUUGUAAACUCCUUUUAUCGGGGAAGAACAGCACUCUUGCGAGGGUGUGUGACGGUACUCGAGGAAUAAGCACCGGCUAACUCCGUGCCAGCAGCCGCGGUAAUACGGAGGGUGCAAGCGUUGUCCGGAUUUAUUGGGUUUAAAGGGUGCGUAGGUGGUCUGAUAAGUCUGGUUUGAAAGUUGGUCGCUUAACGAUCAAGGGUGGCUGGAUACUGUUGGACUUGAAUGGGGUGGCGGUAGCCGGAAUGGGUUGUGUAGCGGUGAAAUGCAUAGAGAUGACCCGGAACACCGAUUGCGAAGGCAGGCUACUACGCCUUAAUUGACACUGAGGCACGAGAGCAUGGGGAGCAAACAGGAUUAGAUACCCUGGUAGUCCAUGCCGUAAACGAUGAUUACUGGC
rnacentral:rRNA from 1 species